rnacentral:ncRNA from 1 species
UCCGAUAAAGCCAAACCUUCUGCGAAGAAGGGACGGAAAGCAACGGGUCUUUAUGAGCUUAAAGACGGCCGGGCUGCCGAAG